rnacentral:rRNA from 1 species
AACGAACGCUGGCGGCAGGCUUAACACAUGCAAGUCGAACGCAUGCCUUCGGGCAUGAGUGGCAGACGGGUGAGUAACGCGUGGGAACCUACCCCUUGGUACGGGAUAGCUCCGGGAAACUGGAGAUAAUACCGUAUGUGUCCUGAGGGACAAAGAUUCAUCGCCAAGGGAUGGGCCCGCGUCGGCUUAGCUAGUUGGUGGGGUAACGGCCUACCAAGGCGACGAUCCGUAGCUGGUCUAAGAGGAUGAUCAGCCACAUUGGGACUGAGACACGGCCCAAACUCCUACGGGAGGGAGCAGUGGGGAAUAUUGGACAAGGGGGGCAAGCCUGAUCCAGCCAUGCCGCGUGAGUGAUGAAGGCCCUAGGGUUGUAAAGCUCUUUCACCGGUGACGAUAAUGACGGUAACCGGAGAAGAAGCCCCGGCUAACUUCGUG